rnacentral:tRNA from 1 species
AGCAGGAUAGAGAAGCGGUUUUCUUUCUGGUUUCCUUAUCCAGAGACGGCGGUUCGAAUCCACCUCCUGCAA